GACGAACGCUGGCGGCGUGCUUAACACAUGCAAGUCGAGCGGUAAGGCCCUUUCGGGGGUACACGAGCGGCGAACGGGUGAGUAACACGUGGGUGACCUGCCCUCAGCUCUGGGAUAAGCCUGGGAAACUGGGUCUAAUACUGGAUAUGACUCCACGGUGCAUGUCGUGGGGUGGAAAGCCUUGUGCGGCUGAGGAUGGGCCCGCGGCCUAUCAGCUUGUUGGUGGGGCGAUGGCCUACCAAGGCGACGACGGGUAGCCGGCCUGAGAGGGCGACCGGCCACACUGGGACUGAGACACGGCCCAGACUCCUACGGGAGGCAGCAGUGGGGAAUCUUGCGCAAUGGGCGAAAGCCUGACGCAGCGACGCCGCGUGAGGGAUGACGGCCU
rnacentral:rRNA from 1 species